rnacentral:rRNA from 3 species
UCGAACGACUCCCGGCAACGGAUAUCUCGGCUCUUGCAUCGAUGAAGAACGUAGCGAAAUGCGAUACUUGGUGUGAAUUGCAGAAUCCCGUGAACCAUCGAGUCUUUGAACGCAAGUUGCGCCCGAGGCCACUAGGCCGAGGGCACGCCUGCCUGGGCGUCACA